UAAUACGUAGGGUGCGAGCGUUAAUCGGAAUGACUGGGCGUAAAGGGUGCGCAGGCGGUUUGUCAAGACGGAUGUGAAAUCCCCGGGCUUAACCUGGGAACGGCAUACGUGACUGGCAGACUCGAGUAUGGCAGAGGGAGGUGGAAUUCCACGUGUAGCAGUGAAAUGCGUAGAGAUGUGGAGGAACACCAAUGGCGAAGGCAGCCUCCUGGGCCAAUACUGACGCUCAGGCACGAAAGCGUGGGGAGCAAACAGGAUUAGAUACCCUGGUAGUCCACGCCCUAAACGAUGUCAACUAGUUGUUGGGGAUUUAUUUCCUUAGUAACGAAGCUAACGCAUGAAGUUGACCGCCUGGGGAGUACGGUCGCAAGAUUA
rnacentral:rRNA from 1 species